CAGCCGCCGCGGGAAUACAGAGGGUGCAAGCGUUAAUCGGAAUUACUGGGCGUAAAGCGCGCGUAGGUGGUUUGUUAAGUUGGAUGUGAAAUCCCCGGGCUCAACCUGGGAACUGCAUCCAAAACUGGCAAGCUAGAGUAUGGUAGAGGGUGGUGGAAUUUCCUGUGUAGCGGUGAAAUGCGUAGAUAUAGGAAGGAACACCAGUGGCGAAGGCGACCACCUGGACUGAUACUGACACUGAGGUGCGAAAGCGUGGGGAGCAAACAGGAUUAGAUACCCCCGUAGUCCCUGUCUCUAUACA
rnacentral:rRNA from 1 species